CGGCUGAGAUACUAUCAGCUGGAAAUCCAUGCCGGGGUUUCCCGCCGCCCACAUUGUCUAUUCUGCUCCGCUAUGUGAAAAAUGUUGAAUAUCAACAAUAGGUUUCAGUGCCGUAUUGUUGAGUUUUGUAUGAACUAAUCUUGCCUUGCUAAAAAAGACCUACAGCUUUGACAAAAAGUCUACAGAGGCUGCAUUCCGCUCUCUCCUUGCACCGAGGCGAGGCAGAGGGGAAGCCGCUGCCAGUGCUGCCGGCUCCUCUCUCUUAAAAGUGCCGUCCCGCUCGCUCGCAGGUGCCGGCCCCUGCUGCACCUGGGUGGGGACCCUGCCUGGGAAACACCCUGGAUUUAUCGCACAGGCUAGGCCUCGGAGGGACAGCCGGGCACAGACAAGCUGGGGUUGAAUGGUUCUGGAGAAGCAGUAUGAUGAACUAAACAGGAGGAAACAGAUCAACAGCAAAUGGAUGAGCAAAAACCGAGUCCUGUUGCACUCCGACUGUGGUCCAGGAUUGCCCAAGAACUGUGUUAUUCCAGCAUUGUGCAUUCCCGGAACUGGACGUAGAUAUAGAUAAAGACAAAAUGGCUGUACAGUCAUGACAGGCCAAGCUCUGUAAAGUGUGAUGGAGAUGCGAUAUGUUUUCCACGACAAUAGCACAUAACUGAUGUAGCAUGUCAUGUAAAUGGACAAAAUGUGACCAUUUCUGAUGCCACACUGGUCAUGUGGUGUACUAGUCAUGUGAACAUAGAUAAAUGUUUCUAUUGAAGAGGUCCAGAAUAAUGUACCAAUUUUCUAUUGAGAAAAUGCAGCUCUGGAAAAAAUGAAGAGACCAAUCUAUAUUUUUAACCAAAUCUAAAUUUUUAAAUCCUGGUUUAAUCCUGGUUCUGCUGGCAGAGGCUACACUGAGCAGCAGGUUGCUUCCUGG